AUGAACCUAAUGAGGAAUUCAGAGUGGGAUGUGUGCUGGAAAGGGCUCACACCUAUAAUCCCGGCACUUUGGGAGGCUAAGGUGGGAGGAUCGCUGGAGCCCACGAGAUCAAGACCAUCCUGGGCAGGAGUCUUGACAAAACCUGUGCAGUCAUGCCAUGGUCCAGGAGAAGCCACUAUCAAUGCAUCCUCCAAUAGCCACAGUCCACUCAAGAAGAGGGAUGCCCAGAUCAUAUGGAUCGCCUGCAAUGAAGCAACAAGUGGGAAAAAUCCUCUUCAGCUUCUCUUGCUGAAUACGCUUGAUAUACUCCUAAGUGAAAUAAGGAGGGUGCUAUGGUCUGAAUGUUCAUGUCCCUUCAAAUUUAUAUGUUGAAACUGAACCCACAAUGCAAUAGUUUUAAGAGGUGGGACCUUGGGGAAAUUAUUAAAUCACAAGGGCCUCAUGAAUGAGAUUUAUGCUAAUAUGAAAGGAGGUGAAGGGAGCACGUUUGUCCCUUUCACCGUGUGAAGACACAGCAUCUGCCACCUUCUGCCAUGUGAAGACGCAGCAAGUAGGUGCCAUCUCUAAAGCACAGCAAGUCCUCACCAGAUGCUGAAUCAGCUGGUGCCUUGACCUUGGACUCCCCAUCCUCCAAAAAUACAGGAAAUAAAUUUCUGUCAUUGAUAGAUUACUCA
rnacentral:lncRNA from 13 species